UCCAACCUGGUCUAAUUGGCUAGGCUAUCUGGCUUUCACCCAGAAGGCCUGGGUUCGAUUCCCGGCGUGGGAA